AAUUUUGUACAAUUGGGGCAACCCUGAUCCAUCCAUCCCGCGUGUGCGAUGAAGGCCUUCGGAUUGUAAAGCACUUUAAGUUGGGAGGAAGGGCUUUAGUCUAAUACCCUGUAGUUUUGACGUUACCAACAGAAUAAGCACCGGCUAACUCUGUGCAAGCAGCCGCGGUAAUACAGAGUGUGCAAGCGUUAAUCGGAAUUACUGGGCGUAAAGCGCGCGUAGGUGGUUCAGUAAGAUGGGUGUGAAAUCCCCGGGCUUAACCUGGGAACUGCUUUCAUAACUGCUGAGCUAGAGUACGGUAGAGGGUAGUGGAAUUUCCUGUGUAGCGGUGAAAUGCGUAGAUAUAGGAAGGAACACCAGUGGCGAAGGCGACUACCUGGACUGAUACUGACACUGAGGUGCGAAAGCGUGGGGAGCAAACA
rnacentral:rRNA from 1 species